UAUCUAAAAACAAUUUUAACAUUAUUAAGCACUUUUAAAAAUAACUCUCUCUACUUAAUUUCUAGAAGAGGUCGGUGUAAAAUUAGUUACUUAUACUUUUUUAGCAGCCGCCGUCCACUGCCGUAGUUCGUUGGUCAGCCGGACGCACCGCCAACCCAACACCUGCUUGCUACCGCAUUUAUCUGGAAGAGAGAUGUGGAAAGUGGAAUCACAGUUGAUGGUAGAAAAUACUUGGCGUAUAGGAACAAGAUGCAGAAAGCUAUUGCAAAGGGUCUUUGAAACUUGAAAGCAAUGAAAAAUGAGUUCACAGUUUCUUCUUUAAACAAAGACAAUGAGAGUUUUCCAUGCUCAGUCAGCAUAUUAGAAGAAGCAGAAUAUGUCGCUUUUAACUCUUAACAGUCUUUGUUGUUGUUUAUCAUGUCCCAAAAGGACUUUUAAAACAGGGAAAAUGGUCAACAAUCUCUAAGCUGGUGCUUCCUAAAAGAAUAUAUUGUGAUUCUUAAGAAUCAUAGGCAAGUGAGUUCCAAAAGGUUGGUGCAGUGUUGCAGUUUCACAUCAGUUCAAAGCCUUCAUAUGUUGAGAAUUUUCAAAACCACAAGCAGAAUUUAGAGCUGUCGAUUGAAGAUAUAGAAGUUUCCCUUCUCAAAACUUUGAAACACUAGUCAAAGUGUCAAACCCAAAACCUAUUUUUGACCGAAUCCAUCACUGUCUCAUAUACUCUGUACAUAUAAAUGAACUUAAUGUCUAAAGAAUUUUGAUGAAGAUUUGGUGUUUCCCCCAUUUGUAUAGUUUGUGUAAUUUCACUAUUAUAUUAGAGUCUAUCUAAGAUCCGUUUAACUACAUGUCACCUCUAUCAGGCGUGAGAGAUGUAAGCAUGAAGAAGAGUCUUACAUUGGAUCGAAAAGUGUGAUGGAGUGUUGGAUGAGAUAUUGUUCUUUAAAAAAAAAAAAUUAUCAAAUUUCAUCUUUAUUGUCAUUUACAAGUGUUUUUUGAUUUGAUGAACGAUGAUUAAACAAAUACUAGUAUCA